AACGAACGCUGGCGGCAUGCCUAACACAUGCAAGUCGAACGAGAUCUUCGGAUCUAGUGGCGCACGGGUGCGUAACGCGUGGGAAUCUGCCCUUGGGUUCGGAAUAACUUCUGGAAACGGAAGCUAAUACCGGAUGAUGACGUAAGUCCAAAGAUUUAUCGCCCAGGGAUGAGCCCGCGUAGGAUUAGCUAGUUGGUGAGGUAAAGGCUCACCAAGGCGACGAUCCUUAGCUGGUCUGAGAGGAUGAUCAGCCACACUGGGACUGAGACACGGCCCAGACUCCUACGGGAGGCAGCAGUGGGGAAUAUUGGACAAUGGGCGAAAGCCUGAUCCAGCAAUGCCGCGUGAGUGAUGAAGGCCUUAGGGUUGUAAAGCUCUUUUACCCGGGAUGAUAAUGACAGUACCGGGAGAAUAAGCUCCGGCUAACUCCGUGCCAGCCGCCGCCGUAACAC
rnacentral:rRNA from 1 species